rnacentral:rRNA from 1 species
CAGCAGUGGGGAAUAUUGCACAAUGGGGGAAACCCUGAUGCAGCGACGCCGCGUGGAGGAAGAAGGUCUUCGGAUUGUAAACUCCUGUUGUUGAGGAAGAUAAUGACGGUACUCAACAAGGAAGUGACGGCUAACUACGUGCCAGCAGCCGCGGUAAAACGUAGGUCACAAGCGUUGUCCGGAAUUACUGGGUGUAAAGGGAGCGCAGGCGGGAAGACAAGUUGGAAGUGAAAUCUAUGGGCUCAACCCAUAAACUGCUUUCAAAACUGUUUUUCUUGAGUAGUGCAGAGGUAGGCGGAAUUCCCGGUGUAGCGGUGGAAUGCGUAGAUAUCGGGAGGAACACCAGUGGCGAAGGCGGCCUACUGGGCACCAACUGACGCUGAGGCUCGAAAGUGUGGGUAGCAAACAGGAUUAGAUACCCUGGUAGUCCACACCGUAAACGAUGAUUACUAGGUGUUGGAGGAUUGACCCCUUCAGUGCCGCAGUUAACACAAUAAGUAAUCCACCUGGGGAGUACGACCGCAAGGUUGAAACUCAAAGGAAUUGACGGGGGCCCGCACAAGCAGUGGAGUAUGUGGUUUAAUUCGACGCAACGCGAAGAACCUUACCAAGUCUUGACAUCCUGCGACGAUGCUGGAAACAGUAUUUUCCUUCGGGACGCAGAGACAGGUGGUGCAUGGUUGUCGUCAGCUCGUGUCGUGAGAUGUUGGGUUAAGUCCCGCAACGAGCGCAACCC